GGUUAAUUCCCAUCAGAUAACAUCCACCACAGAAAAGGUACCAACCAAGCAGAUGGAAUGACUUAGCCAAAUAAUGUUAACCAGGCUUUGUUGCUGGCACCCCAAUGCUGGCAAAAUGAUCAAUGAACGGAGGAGCCAUGGUGGAGCAAAUCCAAGUGUUCAACGUCAUGGACUCAUCAAGUCUGAUCUAACUACUGCAUCAGUGAAUGUCCAGCUUGCCAGCAACAAAGACCGACACUUAGCCCGAUGUCACCAUUCCUCAAGGAAACCGUCUAGCCACUUGGUGCAGCAAACCUCUGUGGCUCAAGGAAAUCUCCAUUGGAUGUCCUGUCUCAUCUACUCAAGACCAGUAAGCAACACUUACUUAAAAAGAACAUAAUCUCUUUAUUUCUGCUUGGGAUACAAAUGUUCAGUUUGGAUGAUGAGAAUGAGGCAAGUACUGGAGACAAUGGCUGGCUCUCCUGUUUGUCCCAAUAAACUCCAAUGGAGGAAGAAGCUAAACAGGUUUUGGAUGGUUUCGGUCUACUGCAUCUAGCUUAUCAAAUCUACAGCCUGGUACUUCUGGAACAAGACUGCCCUGCCCCAGUGAUGACAGUUAAAGAUGGCAAAAAUGAAGAAUUCAACAUGUA
rnacentral:antisense_RNA from 1 species